rnacentral:rRNA from 1 species
UACGAAGGGGGCUAGCGUUGCUCGGAAUCACUGGGCGUAAAGGGUGCGUAGGCGGUUCUUUAAGUCAGGGGGGAAAUCCUGGAGCUCAACUCCAGAACUGCCUUUGAUACUGAAGAUCUUGAGUUCGGGAGAGGUGAGUGGAACUGCGAGUGUAGAGGUGAAAUUCGUAGAUAUUCGCAAGAACACCAGUGGCGAAGGCGGCUCACUGGCCCGAUACUGACGCUGAGGCACGAAAGCGUGGGGAGCAAACAGG